rnacentral:rRNA from 1 species
GUCUACGGCCAUACCACCCUAAAUGUGCCUGAUCUCGUCUGAUCACGAAAGCUAAGCAGGUUUCAGUUCAGUUCAGUCACUCAGUCGUGUCUGACUCUCUGCAACCCCAUGAAUUGCAGCACACC